GGAUCAAACAUAAAGAUCCUUUGACUACAUAUUUUCAGGAAGCUGAUUCAAGGAUGUGAGAGUUUGAUCAAGAGAACUUGAGGUGUCCUACUUACUAAAUUUAUUCAAAGAUGGAUUUUCUAUUGGAAAAUGUAACACGGUCAGCAUCAUGAUACUCAAGAGUUUCGCAUUCAUCACGGAAAGAAAAAAGGUUUGCUUGAAGAUGCACACCAAGUGCUUGAGAAAACGACCAAGAGAUAUUCAAUAGUGGUAGACCAGAGGACACAUGAACUGAUGAACUUUUGCUGACAUAUAAAUUACAU